GAGAAGACUUCAAAUCUUGACAGGGAAAUGACUUCAAAACAUAUUUCUAGUAAUUUGGCACCCGAAUUUGGUGGAGCUACGGAACAAUACCAUAAAUCAGCUGGUUGGAGUGUUCUUGAAUCAGCAAUACCCUCUGGAGAUGCAGUAGAUUACAAUCAGAAGUUCAUUCAGGGUGAAAUUGUUUGUAGGGGUGCAGGAUGGAAUUCUAAUCCUGGCAGUAAUACUACAGUUACUAUGGC
rnacentral:misc_RNA from 1 species